GUGACCUCAAAUCAGGUAGGACUACCCGCUGAACUUAAGCAUAUCAAUAAGCGGAGGAAAAGAAACUAACAAGGAUUCCCCUAGUAACUGCGAGUGAAGCGGGAAAAGCUCAAAUUUAAAAUCUGUCAGUCUUUGGCUGUCCGAGUUGUAAUCUAGAGAAGCGUCGUCCGUGCUGGACCGUGUACAAGUCUCCUGGAAUGGAGCGUCAUAGAGGGUGAGAAUCCCGUCUUUGACACGGACUGCCAGGGCUUUGUGAUGCGCUCUCAAAGAGUCGAGUUGUUUGGGAAUGCAGCUCAAAAUGGGUGGUAAAUUCCAUCUAAAGCUAAAUAUUGGCGAGAGACCGAUAGCGAACAAGUACCGUGAGGGAAAGAUGAAAAGAACUUUGGAAAGAGAGUUAAACAGUACGUGAAAUUGCUGAAAGGGAAACGCUUGAAGUCAGUCAUGUUGUCCAGGGAUCAACCUUGCUUUUGCUUGGUGUACUUUCUGGUUGACGGGUCAGCAUCAAUUUUGACUAUUGGAAAAAGAUUGAGGGAAUGUGGCAUCUUUGGAUGUGUUAUAGCCCUUGGUUGCAUACAAUGGUUGAGAUUGAGGAACUCAGCAUGCCGCAAGGCCGGGUUUUUAACCACGUACGUGCUAGGAUGCUGCU
rnacentral:rRNA from 1 species